GCGUCGGUGGUGUAACGGUUAGCAUGGUUGCCUUCCAAGCAGUCGACCCUGGUUCGACUCCCGGCCGAUGCA
rnacentral:tRNA from 1 species